CGCAUGACAUAACUGAUUCAGCGGUGCGCCCAGCCCAAAUCCGAGAUCAAAUAUCGGUAUAUGGUCUCUGCCCAAAUGUACCAAAUCUUUGAGUGGAACUGGACCCCAGAACCUCUUUAUGAUGCUACAGAACCAUUCC